rnacentral:rRNA from 1 species
GCGCAAUGGGCGAAAGCCUGACGCAGCGACGCCGCGUGAAGGAUGAAGGUCUUCGGAUUGUAAACUUCUUUUGUCGGGGAAGAUAAUGACGGUACCCGAUGAAUAAGCCACGGCUAACUCUGUGCCAGCAGCCGCGGUAAGACAGAGGUGGCAAGCGUUGUUCGGAAUUACUGGGCUUAAAGGGCGCGUAGGCGGUGGAGUAAGUCUGAGGUGGAAGAUUAGGGCCUAACCCUAAAAUUGCCUUGGAAACUGCAUCACUUGAGUCAGCGAGGGGAUGGCGGAAUUCCAGGUGUAGCGGUGAAAUGCGUAGAUAUCUGGAGGAAGGCUGGUGGCGAAGGCGGCCAUCUGGCGCUGAACUGACGCUGAGGCGCGAAAGCGUGGGGAGCAAACAGGAUUAGAUACCCUGGUAGUCCACGCCCUAAACGGUGGGUACUAGGUGUAGGGCUCGCAAGGGUUCUGUGCCGUAGGGAAACCAUUAAGUACCCCGCCUGGGGAGUACGGCCGCAAGGUUG